UGACAGCUCGAGAUUGUUGCUCUAUUCCGCUAGGUAUAUUAACUUUAUGAGCUCGAUACAAUUUUUGCUUCUUUCUCGCUUAUGUCACAGGACAGACAUAAAACAUUUAAACAAACUUCUUGAUUAACAACUUUUAGAACAAACAUGUUAGAAAAUUGACUUAAAAUUCUUACUUUUGUCAAAUUCUCUGUUUUUGCUCAGUACCGUUGAAAAAACCUAUGUGAUGUGUUUAGAAACCACUAAAUGUUUAUAAAAUUAUAGUCACAGUGUGGCCAUAACAACGGAACUAAGUUGUUGUAAUAGUUUGACAUUUUUGCUUUGGCAACACAACUCGAAGCACAGACCUUUCGAUAUUUUACGCUGUGGAUUUUGACUACUAUUAAUGAAAAUGUACUAGAUAAUAAAUUUUAAUAUAUUUCAAGCUUAUUUUUAUCAGCCGUUUAAAUUUUAACACUCAAUAAUAAAAUUACUAAUUCGGUGGAUACAGUGAUGUUUUGUAUGAUUUGGGCUAUGGUUUUUGAGUAUGACUGAAGAUAAUAAUGAAAUUGUCGAUGCUGCGACUAUACUACAAAAUUGAAGGUGUUGUGAAUUAACUUGCAACGCGUUUUUAUAAUAUAAUGCUGAGGAAAUUGACGUAUUUAAGAAUGAGGUCCUAGGCUGUUGAGACUAGUAAGUCUAGUAGUAACUAGCUUUGCAAGUAUAAAUACACAUGGGGCUGCUUGCGCCAGUCUUUUAAUCUGAAAUGUGAUGCCUCUCUUACUCUUCUUAUAUUUAAGAAAGAGAAAAAAUUACAUUUCGUCACAGGUGGCACUAGUGAACUUUAAAACUUUUUUUUUCCGUCAGAAUAUAACUUGUACCUGGCAGCCCUGGGAUCUUGGUCUAUAAAUACGUUUUUAUCACAGCAAAGUUGCGUGCUGUGGAGUCUGCUAGUGUGUGUAUGUGUGUGGUGUGCUGCGUACAAAUAUUCCAUUUUAUAUAUUGUCUUACGGCGGUUUAUUUACACUAUUUAUUUAGUACUCGGACGACGUCCGGUGUCGCCGCUAUUUAUUGUUUACAAGUUGCCAGCCUCGACAGCAAUAACCGAGUUUCAUAUACAAUAUUCUCCGCUGGCAAUAUAUUUGAUAGUAUUUUUUCUUUUGACUAGUGGAAUCGACGGUUUAUUAUUUCGUUUAUAAUGUAGAUAAAUUAUUUUUAUGACGCUAUUGAUUUCGACCAAUACGACGCAUCGACGCUAUUUCAUAUGUCACUUAGCUAGGGACUACUGUAAAGAUUAAUGUAACUAUUUAAUUAAAAUAUAUAAGUUUUUCAAC